GAAUCAACAUGUUUUCGUGCACCGCUCGCCAUUUGAGCAUACCAAAAAGUUUAUUUUAACUGCCAAUCGCCGCGCCGUAACCGGAUAAACAUACAGAGGACACGGAGAAUCGACAUGUUUUCAAGGCAACGUCGAGCAGCGAGCGAUUCAGUGGUUACCGGUCUCCAGUUACGCAUACCACGAAGUGCGUAGAGCUAUACGUACACGUCUGAUGCGACCUGAGUUUGGAGAUAUUAUUCAUACUGAUUUCAUUACGUAAAGUAAAACGUCUCCUCAUAUAGCGUAAUUGCAAGAGCGUAUUUUCACCACAAGUUGUAUUCCCUUUAGAGAGAUGCCAUUCGUAAAGAGCUAUGAUAAACGCGUUGUUAACUAGC